rnacentral:rRNA from 1 species
GCAAUGGGCGCAAGCCUGAUCCAGCCAUGCCGCGUGCAGUGAUGACGGUCCUAUGGAUUGUAAACUGCUUUUGUACAGGAAGAAACCCUUUCACGUGUGGAAGAUUGACGGUACUGUAAGAAUAAGGAUCGGCUAACUCCGUGCCAGCAGCCGCGGUUUACGA